rnacentral:lncRNA from 1 species
UUCAUCCAUUUGAUUCUAAUGAAUUGACCAUAGGUAAGAUGGCGGAUCUUUUCUUUGGAUUGAGUUUCAUCCGAAAAACAAAAUAAGUCUACAAUGCACUCAAUAUAUUUUGCAUUGCUAUGCGCACACAAUGAACAAAGCAAAGGCCAUAAGUAGUACUCCCUCCGUCCCAAAAUAACUGUCUCAAGCUUAGUACAAUUUUGUACUAAACCUAGCACAAAGUUGAGACACUUAUUUUGAGACGGAGGGAGUAUAACAUAAACUUCAUAUUACUUUUAGAUAUGCUUUAUCUUAGUUUGACCGUGGUUUUCAGGAUUCCUGCUUUUUUUUAUUAUUCCAGUAAAUCAAACAGAUAAUUCUGCGGAUUACUGUGUUUUCACAACAAUCUGUUUUGCACAUGCAAUCCGAUUUUAUUCC